UUCUUUUGACGCAUCAGCUCGUCUACUAUCGACUGCAAGGUUUAUAAUAGUCACCCACACCAAGGUAUCUUUGCUAAUGAGAUAUUCAAAGGACAGCUCAAAGUUUUUGCUCGGCGCAUCGAGUAAGGAAUCAUCGCCGUUCGUCUGUGACCGAUCUACCUGUAAUACAAAUAUACAACAAUGUUCAAGGUCGUAAUUCAUUUCUAUAAAAUAUACAUUUUUGAAAUUA